UAACCAUGGUGGGGGCAAAGGACUUGUAAAUCUUUGUACCUUUCGCACACUUGAUAUAAAGUUUCACUCUCCUUUUGAGUGAAAGAUGAGAUUUGCUUUUUCAAUGC
rnacentral:snoRNA from 1 species